rnacentral:tRNA from 1 species
UCUAAUAUGGCAGAAAUAGUGCAAUAAAUUUAAGACUUAUAUAUAAGAUAUUAAUCUUUAUUAGAA